ensembl:lncRNA
GAGGGAGGCAGGAUCUGUGGCUGGAGGGAGUUCUUCCUCAGACAAUGGGUGCUGGGAGGUGCGUCAGUGGGGAUCCUUAGCUCAAAGGACCUUCUCAAAGCAGCCCAAAGGUCCUCCCACCAAGGGCCCCAGGGCCUGGAGUCCCUCCCUGCCCCACUCCCUUGAAGUGGCCUCUUGAAGAGGGUGGCCUACUUUUUUCUGGUUUGAGACACGAUGUUGUCUCAAGGCUGGUCAUGCCGUGGUUGAAUGAGCCUCCGUCUUGGAGUUUGGAGGCCAGGUUUCCUGUUAGCAAGUGGCCAAGCCUUCUCAAGGCCCAUCUACAAGCAGAAGCAGUGCUGGCCUGGAGUUCCUUGAUGGCGUAGCAGUUGCCACUGGAUCCGAGGCUGGAAGAAGGGAGGGGGUGAGCCCUCACAGUGGUUCCUGGGCGUGUGCUGGAUGACGUCAUAGCUGAAGAGUCUGCACCCCAGCCCCCCAAGGAUGUCCUAUCAGGCAAAGGACCAGAGCCCAGAGAUUACUGUCAACAUCAAGUGUGCUGUAGCCAGAGAGACCGGGCGAAGGAUGAUAACGUGUCUUCAAACAUCACCAUUUGCCGGGCACUCUGCUAAGUACUUUAUAUCUAGUAUCUCCCUAAAUUUUCACAAAAAUCCUCUAGUACAGAAUCUACCUUUAUCUUCAUUUUAUAGAUGAUAAGCUUGAGUGGCAUAACCCCAGCCAAGGUUACAGGACUAAGAAGCAUCUGAUGAAGGGUCACCUUACCUCUGACACCAUAAACUGAGCUCUUAAGCCCUCAGGAAGGGAGGCUUCUGGGCAACAAAUGAGAACACGCAGAAAAGGGUGAAGUAAAAUGAAAACAUCAUGGAGUUCCUGUCGUGGCGCAGCAGAAACAAAUGAGCUGUGGUAUGGCGAACGUUCGAGAGCAGACAGCAAGAUUCACAGCCGUCUGGCCUCUCCCUCUCCUCCCCCAGAUGGGCUGAAGCCAGAUGACAGAGCCUGAGAUAGACUUGAGGAGGGGCAGCUGGAGGAUGGAUGGCAAGCCAAGCAGAGGCGGACAUUCUCUGGUCCCUGCUCGACCUUUGGCUUAAUCAUAACCACAUCCCAGCUGACCUGAAACAAACCACAGACUCAUAAGGAAGGCCUGCUGAGAUCAGAGCCCGGGCUGGAUCAAUAGAACCUUUUAAUGGAUCCACAGACUUGUGACCAAUAAUAAACAUUGGUGUU